rnacentral:rRNA from 1 species
AUGUUCUCGUCGCAGUCCUUGAGCCGCGUCAACAACAUCCGCACUGCCUUGAUCAAUGCGCAGAAAGGGAACCAAUCGGUGGCCGCCUACUUCGCCGCCAUGCGUGGCCUUGCUGAUGAGCUCGCCGCGGCCGGCAAGCCCAUCCAGGACGAUGAGCUGAUCUCGUAUCUACUUCACGGACUGGACAUGGACUACCAGCCGCUCGUGUCUGCCCUGGAUGCCCGCGUCACGCCAGUGUCCCUUGAUGAGCUCUACGCCAUGCUGAGCAACUUCGACCAACGUGUCGCCCAGUGCCACAGUGCUGGC